rnacentral:rRNA from 1 species
AAGUCGUAACAAGAUUUCCGUAGGUGAACCUGCGGAAGGAUCAUUG